rnacentral:pre_miRNA from 14 species
AAAAGUAUGCAAAGUAUGAUCUGAAGUCGGUUGGUAGCUUUAAUAACAACGGGUAUGUUCUGUAUUUAAGCUUAUAACCGACUUCAACUCAUCAAUGCAU